GACGAACGCUGGCGGCGUGCUUAACACAUGCAAGUCGAACGGAAAGGCCUGCUUUCCCUUGUGGAUUGCGGGUGCUCGAGUGGCGAACGGGUGAGUAACACGUGAGUGAUCUGCCCCCAACUUGGGUAUAAGCCUGGGAAACUGGGUCUAAUUCCCGAUAGGACUGCAGGGUGGUGCCUGUGGUGGAAAACGAUUUUCUAGUUGUUGGGGAUGAGCUCGCGGCCUAUCAGCUUGUUGGUGGGGUAAUGGCCUACCAAGGCGGCGACGGGUAGCCGGCCUGAGAGGGUGGACGGCCACAUUGGGACUGAGAUACGGCCCAGACUCCUACGGGAGGCAGCAGUGGGGAAUAUUGCACAAUGGGCGGAAGCCUGAUGCAGCGACGCAGCGUGGGGGAUGACGGCCUUCGGGUUGUAAACUCCUUUCGACCGCGAGGAAGCCACCUGGUUGGAAGGGUGGUGACGGUAGUGGUAGAAGAAGCACCGGCUAACUACGUG
rnacentral:rRNA from 1 species